CAUCUUCAGCUCCUUCAAUCCUUUCUCUAACUCCUCCAUUGGGGACCCUGUGUUCAGUCCAAUGGUUGGCUGUGAGCAUCUGCCUCUAUUUGUCAGGCUCUGGCACAGCCUCUGCGGAGACAGCUAUAUAAGGUUCCUGUCAACAUGCACUUCUUGGAAUCCACUAUAGUGUCUGGGUUUGGUGACUGAAUAUGGGAUGCAUCCCUAGGGACUUCGGAGGCUGUUGCAGCUAUAGUCUACUCCAGGCUCUACCUCAAGCUGGAGGAUGACAACGAUCCACAGAGCAUGGUGGUGGCUUUUAAAGGACAUGGAAAGAAAAACUGCAGUAUCACUGACACAAUCGUUCCUGAUGAAACCUUCACCCACAAUUGAGGAGCUAACUUCUUAGACGUGCUCAAGAUUCGAACAAGUGGUGGCUACCGGGAGGUAGAUCCCUUAGGAGGUGAACUCUGAAACUUUAUCUUGCUCUGGAUUCUUUCUGUUAACACUUCUACCUAAUUUAUGGCCACUGCAAACUAAGCAGUCUUUGCUACAAUUUCAGCUGAUAUUAUAUUCUGCCUUUUCUUGGGAUCAAAGAAGUAGCAGCCAACCAUGAUCUACAGCAAUGACCAUGAACAAAAUAAAACUAUCCUGACUUCCAUUUAUGAUAGGUAUUAGUUACAACAAGGAAGGUAACACUAACAAAAGGUCUUAAAAAUACCUGUGGAGCCUUUAUUAAUUUACGUUCUUUGAAAGACAGCAGGAUGAAAGCCUAAUAUGAAUUUGCGAGAAUGAAAGUUUUAAGGGUUCUUUUUCUAUGAUAUGAAAAAAUAUGAAUUAAUAAAAAAAACUUUUAACCUAAAAAGUAGGGCAGUGAAACAUAUCCUUUGAUAAUUAUCACUAUGUACAAUAACAAAGGCUAGUGGUGGUAAUAAUAAUCACAACAGAGUAAAAAUCCUCUAACAGUAUAUUUCAUUGGAAUACAUUUUGAUAGCGAAAUCUUUAAAGUAGUGUUUUUCAGCUUCACUAGUUAUUAGUAUGGGGCACAACAAAAUGUACAUAGUCUCUAUGAAAGGCAAGUAACUUCUUUCUAGUUAACAGCCUUUUUAUUAUCAAUUUUCCUGCAAAUGAAAUGACUUCAUUAUUUUUUAUGACUAAAAAACAAAGUCCUGCUAUAUACAUAAACACCUAAUCUAGCAUGGUAGCAUGGGACAGUGGACAGUGCUGCAAUAAGCACUGGGGCUGGCACCCACGUGGUCUGCAUAUCUUGGGCAGUGUCUAGAAGGGGUCGUGUGGUCAUACAUUAGACCAUCUUCCUUUAUGUAUUGCUUUGAGAACCUGGAUUCCCAUAGGGUCUAGAUUAGGUUGCAUUCUCAAGAGGGUUUGUAAUUCAAGAAUUCCCUUUCACCCAUUUCCUUGUCAGUGUUGACUUUAUACUUUCUCCAUUACUGACAUUCUGGAAGAAGACAGAAUCUCAAUGUAUGCAUCAUCUGCAUUUCCCUGACGGACAGCCAGACUGAAAUUUGUUUUUAUGUUUAUGUAUGCCAUUUGUACUUUAUCUUGAGAGCUGUUUCAUUUUAUUACUCUACUAAAUGACUAGACUGUGAUAUCUAACUUCGAAGGCCACUGUAGAGAAGAUCCACUGCUCUGUUCAAUGCUUUAAACUCUAGAGUCUUAAGAAUGUAUAGCACACUGAAGUUUAAAAAUACAUUCAUAUAAGAAACAAAAUGGAGAUAAGAAAAACAUUCAAGAAAAUAGCAAACUAAAUCUUUUACACUAUGUCUAUAGUUCAUAAAAAGCAGAGUUAAUACUGAGCUUCCAACUUUAGUAUUUUUAACACUGCUCUUAACUUGAAGUCCAUGAAGUGAUAGAAUGUUUUCUUGGGUUGUUCGUUUUGGUAGAAUUCUAGAACAUCCCUGGAACUCUAAUGGAACCUGGAUUUCUACUUACCUCUGUUUCCAGAUUAAAAUGGUGUUUGAAAAAUAGAAUCUGAUGUUUUUUCUAAGGACCAGAAAAAUCAUUCUAGCAGUGACCUAACCAUUCACACCUAGUCCUCAAUCCAAAGUAGAGGUGAGGGCAGGUACAGAAUAGAAGGAGGCCUGUCAUUGGAUGAGAAGGAAGGAUGGGCAGGAGAGAAGUUUGAAGAGGAGGAGAUGGAAACAGAGAAGGAGAGAGAGAGAGAAAAUUAUCUGGGAGAGACAACAUGGAAGCUGACGUCCACACUGUACCUUUACAGGUUGUUCUAAAUGUUCUUAAGGGAUGAAUGACCAGACUUUGUAUGUUUAGUUGGGCAAUUAUAUCUUAUCAAUUGGA